rnacentral:rRNA from 1 species
GACAGAGGGUGCAAACGUUGCUCGGAAUCACUGGGCGUAAAGGGCGUGUAGGCGGGAAUGUAAGUCGGGCGUGAAAUCCCUAGGCUCAACCUAGGAACUGCACUCGAACUGCGUUACUUGAGUGCCGGAGAGGAAAGCGGAAUUCCUGGUGUAGAGGUGAAAUUCGUAGAUAUCAGGAGGAACACCAGUGGCGAAGGCGGCUUUCUGGACGGUAACUGACGCUGAGACGGCGAAAAGCGUGG